rnacentral:rRNA from 1 species
GCAGAACAUUCUGGAAAGUAUAGCCAUAGAGGGUGAUAGUCCCGUAUGCGAAAAACAAACCUUAGCUAGCAGUAUCCUGAGUAGGGCGGGACACGAGAAAUCCUGUCUGAAGCUGGGUCGACCACGAUCCAACCCUAAAUACUAAUACCAGAUCGAUAGUGCACAAGUACCGUGAGGGAAAGGUGAAAAGAACUGAGGUGAUCAGAGUGAAAUAGAACCUGAAACCAUUUGCUUACAAUCAUUCAGAGCCCUAUGUAGCAAUACAGGGUGAUGGACUGCCUUUUGCAUAAUGAGCCUGCGAGUUGUGGUGUCUGGCAAGGUUAAGCAAACGCGAAGCCGUAGCGAAAGCGAGUCUGAAUAGGGCGCUUAGUCAGAUGCUGCAGACCCGAAACGAAGUGAUCUAUCCAUGAGCAAGUUGAAGCUAGUGUAAGAACUAGUGGAGGACUGAACCCAUAGGCGUUGAAAAGCCCCGGGAUGACUUGUGGAUAGGGGUGAAAGGCCAAUCAAACUUCGUGAUAGCUGGUUCUCUCCGAAAUAUAUUUAGGUAUAGCGUUGUGUCGUAAUAUAAGGGGGUAGAGCACUGAAUGGGCUAGGGCAUACACCAAUGUACCAAACCCUAUCAAACUCCGAAUACCUUAUAUGUAAUCACAGCAGUCAGGCGGCGAGUGAUAAAAUCCGUCGUCAAGAGGGAAACAACCCAGACUACCAGCUAAGGUCCCUAAAUCUUACUUAAGUGGAAAACGAUGUGAAGUUACUUAAACAACCAGGAGGUUGGCUUAGAAGCAGCCAUCCUUUAAAGAAAGCGUAAUAGCUCACUGGUCUAGUGAUUUUGCGCGGAAAAUAUAACGGGGCUAAAGUAAGUACCGAAGCUGUAGACUUGCGCACAACUUAGAUUAUUUAAGUUUAGAAUAUGAGAAACUAAGUUAUAUGUUUAGUUAUAUUUUUACUGAUUUUUAUAGAGUAAAGAUAGAAAUAAAACUUAGUAAAAUCAGUAAAAAUAUUCUUAGACUAAAGUUAAGUAGUUUAAGUUGUGUGCAAGUGGUAGGAGAGCGUUCUAUUUGCGUCGAAGGUAUACCGGUAAGGAGUGCUGGAGCGAAUAGAAGUGAGCAUGCAGGCAUGAGUAGCGAUAAUUAAUGUGAGAAUCAUUAACGCCGUAAACCCAAGGUUUCCUACGCGAUGCUCGUCAUCGUAGGGUUAGUCGGGUCCUAAGUCGAGUCCGAAAGGGGUAGACGAUGGCAAAUUGGUUAAUAUUCCAAUACCAACAUUAGUGUGCGAUGGAAGGACGCUUAGGGCUAAGGGGGCUAGCGGAUGGAAGUGCUAGUCUAAGGUCGUAGGAGGUUAUACAGGCAAAUCCGUAUAACAAUACUCCGAGAACUGAAAGGCUUUUUGAAGUCUUCGGAUG